UGAUCAGAAUGGUGGGUGCAAGUUUAUGA
rnacentral:piRNA from 1 species